rnacentral:rRNA from 1 species
UACAGAGGGGGCAAGCGUUGUUCGGAAUUACUGGGCGUAAAGGGCGCGUAGGCGGCCUGUUAAGUUCGAACGUGAAAUCCCCGGGCUCAACCCGGGAACUGCGUCCGAUACUGGCAGGCUUGAAUUCGGGAGAGGGAUGUGGAAUUCCAGGUGGUAGCGGUGAAAUGCGUAGAUAAUCUGGAGGAACACCGGUGGCGAAGGCGGCAUCCUGGAC